ensembl:lncRNA
CCUGGAUCUAAUGAAUUAUUUCAUUAAUUUGGAAUAAUAAAGUAUACCUUUGUUUAUUCCAAAAAAAUUUUUACCAGAGGCAUAAUUUGGAUGCUUCUGGUAAAAACCAAGACAGGUGUCAGGGCUCAGGUCCAGGAUGAGGACGAGGAGCAAGGGAGCUUCCUUCCAGCAGAUGACCUCAGGAUCAUGGCUGAGCAGUUAUCUGGCUGAGCAGUCUGAGAAUGUGGACUCUAGUACUGCUCAGCAGGAGCCCUUCUGAUGUAGAAGUGCCUGAACCUGAACAGAAUCAGAUUGAUGAGCAGGAAUUAACUCACCCUGCUGGCUUUAGCUGAGGAUAGAUUGCAUACAGCUGCGAUGGUCAAGAAGAUUGGCACAGGGGAAGGCUACAGGGCUGUAAAGGCUUGCCGCCGGCAGCAUAAAUAACGGAUGCUGGCAGGAGCCUGGUGCUGGCAGCAAUCGUUGUUGUAUGGAGAGCUUCAGCCAGAAAUCUUGGAAACCUUGUACUCUGAACCUUCGACUUUGUGUGUUGGACCUCUGGAGGUGAUAAUGCAGGCUUCUCGGCUUGGAAAUGGAGAAGAGCACUUUCUCCAGAGCCAGAGAUAAGCACCACCUGCAGAGCCGGAAAUGAAAGAAGACUUUGCCUUUGUCUAUGCUUGUUUGUCUCAUUGUAUGUGAUUGUAACAAGGUAUUGAAUGUUUGCCUGUGCCUGUUUAUAUGCUGUAAUCUGCUCUGAAUCCCCUCGGGGAGAAGGGCAGAAUAUAAAUAAAUUAUUAUUAAGUUGCCUGUUGACCUAUAGUGACCUCAGGAAUUUCAUAGGGUUUUCUUAGACAAGGAAUAUUCAGAGGUAACUUCACCAGUUCCUUCCUCUGAAAUAUAGCCUACAGCAUCUAGCAUUUCUUGGUUGAAAUAAAUGUGAAAUGUAAUGUAUUUUUGGUGGUCUCCCACCUAGGCAGUAAUAGGGCUGAUCCUACUUGGCUUAUUACAGCUAUUUGAUUUUCCCCUUUUCUGAAACAAAUUAUUAUUUCUGAACUACCAGCAUAUUAAGUCUUUUAUUAUUAUUAUUAUUAUUAUUAUUAUUAAACUUUAUUUGUACCCCGCUAGCAUCUCCCGAAGGACUCGGUGCGGCUUACAAAGGCCAAGGCCUCAACACACAAUAUAACAAUACAAAACAAAAAGUAAAUUAAAAACAAUUAAAACAGUAUAAACAACAAGCAAUAAACAAUACGCUAAAACACAAUAAAACUGGGCCGGGCCAGAGUAAUGGGUACAAGAUUAAAAGUGCUGAUGUGACAGGUGAUAUAUAAGGCUUAUAGGGCAAGUGCAGAGUGCGAUAUAUAAGGUCUUGGGACCUUUCCUAGGACAAUGUGUUGUCGAAGGCUUUCAUGGCCGGGAUCACAGGGUUGUUGUAUGUCUUUCGGGCUGUGUGGCCAUGUUCCAGAAGUAUUCUCUCCUGACGUUUCGCCCACAUCUAUGGCAUUGAUUCCAAUGUAGAUGCACCCCAGGCUAAUGUGAAUAGAGAUUCAACCCAAAUUUGAAAUUAAAAAAAAAAAUCAGUUUUAGGGCCUUUAAGUUAGUAUGUGAUAAAGCUGUAUUUUAUAUGUUUUGAUGGUUUUAACUUUUUAUGGUUAAUACCUCUUAGUUGAAUUAUAUUUUAGUUUAAGCGGCUGAGGGGGAAAGGAAAGGGCCCGAGGCGGUUAGGAAUGGUGGGAGUUGAAGUCCAAAACAUCUGGAGGGAGGGCCCAAGUUUGCCCAUGCCUGGUAUACAUAAAUAUAAUAAUAUAUAAUAACACUAGAACACGUCUCAGCUGUAUAUAAAGGAAGAUGCCUUAAGCAUGUGACACGUUUUUAACCUUCUGUUGGGAGAGAAAAAUCACAGAAUCCCAGCAUGAGCCAAACUUAAUGGGGUGGUUGAGGCUUCAUUAAAGGUGGCCCUUUAAUGAAGCCUCCUAUGGCUUAAUUAAACUAGUCUGGAUCCACUUUAAAUCCACUUUAGGAUGGGGCCUUUAAACAGCUCUGUAGACAGGUCCUGGGCCUCACCAAACUACAAUCUCCAGAAUUCUGCAGGAGGCAGAAACCGGAUUUUAAGUGGAUAAAUGCUGAAGUCUGAUAAGGACCCUAGUCAUCUCUGACAGGGAAACUACACUUCCCACAGGCGCAUUUCAUUAUAGCGCCUUUAGUCCCUGGAGCUCUCGCAAUGCACCACGGGACUCGUAGUGUGCGCUUCGCUGCGGCGCUUUCAACUCUGGCGGUUUUGGGACUCCAUUUCCCAUAACCGACUGCGAAUGGAGGUGGUGUUGACGCAGGCGCGGCGCAGCGCGGGCGGAAAAAAGAGGGGGCGGGGCCUCGGAGGUUGGCUGCCUCUCUCUCUCUCUCUCGCUGGCUGGCUGUGGAAGUGAGCGAGCGAGUGCGUUCGUGCGCGCGCGCGUGUGUGCGUGUGCGCGAGGAAGGGGAGUGUUGGUUCCGAGCGCACACCAGAGUCGCCAUUUAGCGCGGCGCGUUCGCUCUGUCUUAGGCGGCGGCCACUGCAGGAAGAAGAAGAGGCCCGUCCGCCUCAGUCGCCAUGAAGGCAGGAAGGAAAGGAGUGAUAAAGCGCGGAGAGUAGGCGGUGGAGUAUGCUAGGCCUUGUCAUU